GUGGGGAUAGCUUAGUUGGGAAAGCAUAAGAUUGAAGAUUUAAAGGUUGUGUGUUUGACCCACACUCACCACA
rfam:Gossypium hirsutum cultivar TM-1 chromosome 12, whole genome shotgun sequence